GUUUGAGUGAAGUCUUGAGGUCCCCAGGGCUGCUUACCAGGCAGUGUGGAUGGCAUGCAGUGGGAUGGUGAAGGAUGGAGCCAGAGGAAGGAAGGACAUGCCCGCCCAGCCGUGUUUGGGAUGCUGCCUCCCUCGAGAGGGGUCAUGAAGCCUAGCAGGCAGUGGAGCCCAGGUUCCAGAAACAGGAGCUGCCUUUCUCCGAGAUAUAGGUGUUUGUGGUUAAGAGAUUGGGGUCUGCUUUUCCUGCUUACCACCUGACAACUUUGGAGAGGAAGCUGUGUUUCCCAGGCUCCCUUGCCAAGUGGCUCUCCAUAGCUUUGUGUGUUGGGAGAAAAUGGUACAAGACCAGAGUAUGGUAGGGUGAGAUGUGGGGAUCAACCAUUUCCCCCCUCUUGCUCUGCACCUUCCACAGUGGCUGUGUAUCAUCUAUGGUUCCAAGCCCUUCUGUGGCUCUGACUCCUGCCAGACAACCCUCACCUCCAUGGGGCGAGCUCUCACGGGCAGCCCUGCCAUGGUUCUAGCUGCUGCCACCAACACUGGCUUCUGGGCUUCAUCUCCUCAACCUUGGAAUAAGAAGCUUCCUGCUGGUGCUAAGCUGUGUUCCUCACUAUCCCGUUCAGCCUUUCAUCCUUCCAUUAUCUAUGUAAGCAAUUCCUUGUGUUAAACUCCCGCUGUUGAAAGACCUAGAGUAGUUUCUUAAUUCUGACACAGAGAAGCAGCAAGACAGCAGUGAGCUAACCAAGGGUUUACAAAGUCAUCAAUGAGAAGUUCUGCAUCAACCAAUCCAUUGCUAAGGUCAUGUGGCUAUGAAAGUCACCCAAGGCCAAGACCUCAACUUUUCCCGCUUGAAAAUCCUUGAAUAUAGAAGGAGUUGGAGGAGGAGGAGUAAUAAACUAUUCCUCCAAAAAUC